rnacentral:rRNA from 1 species
UACGGGGGGGCAAGCGUUGUUCGGAAUUACUGGGUGUAAAGGGUUCGUAGGCGGUGCGGCAAGUCGGGAGUGAAAUCUCUGGGCUUAACCCAGAGGCUGCUUCCGAAACUGCUGUGCUUGAGUGUGGGAGAGGCGCGUGGAAUUGCAGGUGUAGCGGUGAAAUGCGUAGAUAUCUGCAGGAACACCCGUGGCGAAAGCGGCGCGCUGGACCACUACUGACGCUGAGGAACGAAAGCUAGGGGAGCAAACAGG